rnacentral:misc_RNA from 1 species
CAGAGUUGCAAAACUCCCUAAACCAUUGUGAACGUUACCUAAACCGUUGCUUCGGCGGGCGGCCCGGGUCCUUCCCGGCGCCCCUCGGCCCUCGCGGGCGCCCGCCGGAGGUAAACCAAACUAUUGCAUUGUAUGGCCUCUCUGAGUCUUCUGUACUGAAAUAAGUCA